rnacentral:rRNA from 1 species
GACGAACGCUGGCGGCGUGCUUAACACAUGCAAGUCGAACGGUAAGGCCCUUCGGGGUGCACGAGUGGCGAACGGGUGAGUAACGCGUAAGUAACCUGCCCUUCACUCUGGGAUAACAGUUGGAAACGGCUGCUAAUACCGGAUAUUCAGCUCCUGUCGCAUGGUGGGGGUUGGAAAGUUUUGGUGGUGGAGGAUGGGCUCGCGUCCUAUCAGCUUGUUGGUGGGGUGAUGGCCUACCAAGGCGUCGACGGGUAGCCGGCCUGAGAGGGCGACCGGCCACAUUGGGACUGAGAUACGGCCCAAACUCCUACGGGAGGCAGCAGUGGGGAAUAUUGCACAAUGGGCGGAAGCCUGAUGCAGCAACGCCGCGUGCGGGAUGACGGCCUUCGGGUUGUAAACCGCUUUCAGCAGGGACGAAGCGCAAGUGACGGUACCUGCAGAAGAAGCACCGGCUAACUACGUG